UCGCCCACAAUGCCUUUCAACGGUUUCAACACAGAUGUGGGUUGGCGUGCAUUGAUUGGACGCUUCCUACUCGGCGGUGCCGAAUCCCCCAUGGGGGGCCUCUCUGUUGGAGUCGUUGCCGAUGCCCGGUUCGGGUGAUCUUCUUCGGCUCCUUCAGUGGUCUCCUCGCGCUAACCCAGUAGCGUGUGGUUUUUAGCGGGCUAUCAAGCCCGCUUUUUUUU
rnacentral:ncRNA from 12 species